GGGCCCGCACAAGCGGUGGAGCAUGUGGUUUAAUUCGAUGAUACGCGAGGAACCUUACCAGGGUUUAAAUGCAGAACGACAGGGGUGGAAACACCCCCUUCUUCGGACGGACUGCAAGGUGCUGCAUGGUUGUCGUCAGCUCGUGCUGUGAAGUGUCGGGUUAAGUCCCAUAACGAGCGCAACCCCCAUUUCUAGUUGCCAGCGGUUCGGCCGGGGACUCUAGAGAAACUGCCAGCGUAAGCUGUGAGGAAGGUGGGGAUGACGUCAAAUCAUCACGGCCCUUACAUCCUGGGCCACACACGUGCUACAAUGGUAGGGACAACAGGUUGCCAACCCGCGAGGGUGAGCCAAUCCCAAAACCCUAUCUCAGUUCGGAUCGGAGUCUGCAACUCGACUCCGUGAAGUUGGAAUCGCUAGUAAUCGCAUAUC
rnacentral:rRNA from 1 species